UUUCACUCUCAUUAAAUAUGUCAUCUGGUUCACUUAAGUGAGAGCACGCACCAUCAGAAUUUUUUAUUAACAACAAAUAUUAAUUAAUAUAGAUUAAAACGAGUAUAAAGGAUACUCGAAUUUAAUAUACAAAUACAUAGAAAAAGUGACAAACCAUAAAAAUAUAUUCAAUUUGAUAGUGUCAUGUUUGUACAACAAAAAAAGAUAAAAUAAAAAACUAACUUCCAAACAUACAAAAUAAAAUUACUUUUAAAUAUUAUUUUUGCUUAUACAUGUCAGAUUAAUCCUUAUCAAUUGCUAUUACAAACAUUAUCACCAAAUGGUAUUUGCUGGCUAAUCUCAAUCCCAUUAUCAUCAUUAUUUUCUACAAAUUUACACCAAUAUUGGUUUGUCAAUACAUUUUUUGAAAUAGAUUCAUCGAUAUAUUAUUUGAUAUAUACUCAUUUUUUGAACUAACCGCAUGUCCGUACCAAGGUUAAUUUCUAUAAAAUCCAAACAUAUAAGCACUUUUUGUUUAUAAUUGAGUCGGGAGGGAGUAGAUUAAUGAUAUCACUGCAACACAAAUAUAGACAUAAGAUAAAAGUAAGUAACUUUCAUAUGUAAAGUGAAGUAAUUCAGUAAGAAUACACAAGCAUCGACAAAUUCCAAGCCAUGUUUAUUGCUUUAAAAGAAGCAUGAGUUCAACUUCAAAUGUGAGGAAAAACGUGAUUUCUUUUAGGGUUUUGGAAAAGUAAAUUAAAAAGUAGAGUGAAGACACAUUAUGGCCUCUCACAAAAACAAAAUUACAAGGGACAUAUUAGUCUUUAAUUUAAAAAAAUGAUUCCAUUGAAUUUCCCACAAAAAUAAAUCGGAAUACAUUAGUCAUUUUAUCAGUUUUUCUUCGUUUUUUAACUAUAACUUAAUAUGAAAAUGGCAGAAGAAAUACUUCAUAAGGAAAUGGUCAAAAAAAUUGUCAUUGUGUCGAGCUACAACUAUUCUUUGUCAUAGCCAGAAAUUGCUAUAAACUACCCUCUUAUAUUUUUGUUAAAGAUCGCUAAGAAAGUUCGUGAACGUCAUUAACAACGUAACCGGACGUACCAUCAAUUUUCAAAGUGUGAAUGACAUAUCGUGAUUCAGAGACUAAAUUAUCUCAAUUUAUUUUUGUUACACUAGUAGCUGAACAACUUCAAAAUCAAAAUUACACUUAUUUUGGAUUUAAAUAUGAUUUUAGUCCUACAAUUAUAUCAGUUGUUUUUAAUUCCUGAUUCAGUUUAUUGGACCAUGUAGCAUAAUUUUAUUAGAUCACGUCUUACAUCGAAGACUAAAAACAACAAUUUUUGAAUUGAUAGAAUUUGAAUAAAAAAAAUAGAGGAAUAAAUUAAUUUAAAAAAACUAUUAUCAUAUGAACUAAAAUAAUAUUUAAACCUCUCAAUUUAUUAAAAAUACUUCGUAGAGAUGUAAAAAAUUACCUUUUCAAUAGACUGCAAACAAGAUUGAGAGAGUCCAAUAAAAGUAACUCGAUUGAUGAAUUAAAUAACAUUGAAUGAGUUUUAAGUAUGGGUUCGGUAUCAAAAACUAACAUAAUCUAACUAAUUAAUUAGUAAAUUUUGCCAAUAAAAAAAGAAUCCAAUUUCAGAGAAGUUCAUAGAUUCAUAAUACGAAAGAAAAACAGGGUCAAAAAAUUGGAAAAUCUCGCAGUGUGUCGUCUAGAAGAAGAAAACACUAAACAAGGAUAUUUAGACUUAUUGGAAAGAAGAAGAAGCAGAAUAGUGAUAAUAAUGUAGCUAGAGAAGAAGUGAAACGAUGGAGAUGUGGUUUUUCAUAAGGUGUGGCAAGAGUUUAAAUAAAGAGAAGAGUACUUGAAAUUGAA
rnacentral:lncRNA from 1 species